rnacentral:tRNA from 1 species
GGGCCUGUAGUCCAACGGUUAAGACGCGUCCCUCGCAUGGAUGAAAUCUGAGUUCAAUUCUCAGCAGGUCCA